rnacentral:rRNA from 1 species
ACAACGAAGAGUUUGAUCCUGGCUCAGGAUGAACGCUAGCGACAGGCUUAACACAUGCAAGUCGAGGGGCAGCGGGGAGGAGGACUUGUCCUCCUCCGCCGGCGACCGGCGCACGGGUGAGUAACACGUAUGCAACCUGCCCAUUGCAGGGGGAUAAGCGGAAGAAAUUCCGUC